UAACCUUAAAUACAAUCGCCAGACGUAAAAAAUCUAAUGUUAGGCCAUAAAGAAACUUCACUAAACCAUUUGAUUUCUUUUUCUUUCCCUGUUAGAGUUCGACAUGAUGACUUCAGUUUCAGGUGUCAGUGUCCAAAAGGCAAACACCAACCAGAACCUUCCGGCUGCCGCAGUCCCGAAGACCCAGCAGCAAUCCCACUACGACACCGUGGCUAACACACCCUCCAAGGAAGCCCGCCUCAAAUUUGGCUCGUUGUCUCUAUGCCGUCACAAAUGUCCAACAGUGAGACGAAUAAAGUGACAGACCCAAAAGUCCAGCUGCAGCAGCGGCACAUUGAGUUUCCCGGCUUUAAGGUCAAAGGUGGGGAACGAGAGGCUCCUCGUGAGGCUCGACCUCUGGGGGCAAAUGAAGCCCAAGGACUGGGAACGGGAACAGGGAGGCACGGCACCGAGGCAAAAGCUUCAGACAGGAAAUCACAGAAGGUGGACAAAGAUACAGAAAGUUUUGCCUCUGAAUUACAUCUGUUUACUGCGAUCUCCUCCACCUCGUCGUUAGUGUCAGCAACAGGGCGACCAGUAUCUUCCCCUCCGUCAUUUCCAACAUGGCAAACAACGGCAAUCAUUAAGCAUGCUUUCCCAACCGAGGUCAGAUUCGGACAACCUGUCCCAAUCCAGGACUAUGUGACUCCCUCUGGGGUGCUGACAGGCACUUCAAAGACUGCAGAUGAAGACCGCCGGGCUGCAACUGGCGUCCAGUAUCCUUCUGCGUCUCAAACUAACAGUUCUUCCCCCACUUCCUCUCCUGCUUCGUCUGCACCCUCCUCAUCAUCGCCCCCUCCCUCCUGGUCUGCCUCGACGUCCUCACGUCCCAUCUCCGCCACCCAGUCCAAUAUGCCAACGCCUGAUGUCGCCCUUCCAUCAAACACCUCCGUCACCAGAGGGGCAAGUCCUCACCGGGCUGACGACGUCACGACGAACACCGCCUCCGCACCGCCGCCGCUGUUUCCGCGCCUCAGCAGACGACCUGUGUGCCCGUAUCCACCCGUGCCCGUUGGCGGGACCUUCUUCUUCUUCCGUAAUGUAGAGAAUCCCGGUCCCAGAGCGUACAGACAUUACAUACAGUACACCUGCUACCCUGGUUACACCCUGGCUCGUGGAGACGUACACAGCUACUGCCAACAGGGGGGCACCUGGAGCGGAGUCACGCCCGUUUGUCUGGAGUUGACACCAUGCUCAGUGAACAGCGGAGGCUGUUCCCAGCUGUGCUCUCACUCCCAACACUACAACCAGAGCUCCGACCGGACCCAGAUCGGAACUCGGUGCCACUGCAGACCUGGGUUCACUCUGCUGGAUGACGGGCAAACGUGUCGAGAUAUAGAUGAGUGUGCAGUUAAUCGGGGGCAUGGGCCGUGUAUGGAGCGGUGCCACAACUCACCAGGAUCCUACCGCUGCUCCUGCACAUAUGGACUCAUCUUAGCCGGGGAUGGACACAGCUGCAUCCCCGAGUGUCCACCUGGAUACAGGAAGCAACCAACAACACCCGAGAAUUCAACCGCAGAAGCUCUUAAGGAAGAGUGUGUAGGUAGGGAAAAAUAG
rnacentral:lncRNA from 1 species